rnacentral:lncRNA from 1 species
CCUACUUGAAAUUCUUGAACCAAUAAAUAUGAAAUAACGAGCAUCGAAGAGACUCUUACAAAAUAUUGUAGCACAAGAAGAGCGUAAAAAUAUUUUGAAAAAAAUUAAUUUAUCAAAUGUAGUAAUAUUUUUCAUCGAUUAUUUUACAUGCUUUAUCACGCACAUUCAAUUCAAAUACAGAGCAAGACUCCCCUCGAGGGGCAGGAAAUACUUGAUAUUAAGUAUUCAAAUUUUAUUUUAGGAUCAUUAUAUUUCAGCAAUGCAAAUUUGACAAUAUUUUUGACAACAGUCAAAAGGUGAUUGGAUCAUUUAAAAUAUUUUCUUUUUCAUUAAAGUUGGCAAUAAAUUUUAUUUUAAAAAAUGUUCUUUUCAUUCUUCUUUCACUAUGUAUUUUUGUUUUCAUUUUGUGUGUGUGUUUUCUCUCCUUUCUCUCUUUCUCUCUCAUGAAGCAAGCUUCAUCUUCUCCGGCGAGACUCCAGUGAAGCAAUGAAAAGUUCUGAUAAUAAGGUAUUUUCUUUUCCCUUUCCAUUUUCCAUUUCCCAUUUUCCAUUUUCCCUUUCCACUUUUUCCCUUUUCCCCUACUCCAUUUUCGUCCUCUCUGUAACCUCUUUCAUCUAUUUUUCUCCUUUCUCUCUUCAAGCUUUCUCCUUUCUCUCUUAAAGCUCAUUCCUUUCUCUUUUUAAGUCCUCUCCUUUCUCUCUUCAAGCUCUCUCCUUUCUCUCUUCAAGCUUUCUCUUUUCUCUCUCGUUUUCUUUUUAUUUUAGCUUCAUCUUCUUCGGUGAAGCAACCCGACGAGAAACAUAUUCUCCUUUCCAUUGAUUUUGUUGUGGGAAAUGGAAAACUCCAGUGAUGAGAGUAGGUAUUUCCACUAUUCCCUUUCCCUUUUCGCGUUUUCCCUUUCCUCUUUUCCACUUCCUCUUUCCCAUUUUCCAUUUAGCCUUUCCCCUUUCCUUUUUGCCAAUUUGUGUUUCUU